rnacentral:lncRNA from 1 species
GUCCCCCUGUUGACUAGAGAGAUGUUGUUCUUGGGAUUAGAGAUGUCUGACCUUGAAGGUCACAGGUCACCAUCCUUGAAUAAGGAGCAGGAGCGCAAGGUUAGGAUUGAAACUUGAGGUGCGUCUGUUGGAGAUCACAGGGAAAAGCCUUCCAAACAAAGAGGAAUGCCUCGGUCAGGGUGAGAAAGGACAAAUUCCCCAAGAAUUAUGAGCUCCUUCCGGAUGAUCGCAUACCUGCAGACCCCCAAAGGAUGCACUGUGGCUGAAAGAGGGGAGAAAGGAGAGGGAGGAUGGCUGGAGCCAGCAGACCAUGUUAUUUAUCAUUAUUCGCAUUCUGGGCAGGCCCAGAGGCCCUGAUGCUGGCAGUUUUAUGGAGAUAGCAACAGAAAGGACAUCCCGUCAUCACAGCAGCCUGGAGGUGGAGCGCUGGAAGAAAGGAGGCUGCCCAGAAGUAUCUUUGCAGGAAGGGAAGAAGAGAUUCCCUCAAGGGCAAGGAAGUAACAGAGGCUACAAGAGGAAAUUGCACUUCUAAUCUGUGUCUAACAUAACUGUGACAGCUUCCCACUGUGAGAUCCUGAAGAGCUCUGGGGUGUAGGUUCCAGCUGCAUGCCUCAGUUUCCCCACAGAAAUAACUAUAGAGGGGCAAAGAGUACCUCAAGCCUUAUUUCAGGGUUUCAAGGACUGAAGUGAGUAAAGAAACCUCAUUUCUCUAACGUGAUUCUCAUCUAAGUGAGGAAAGAAACGUAUUCACUAGCUCAGGUACACCUGGCUCGUGCCCAUGCACCCUGCAGGCAGGAGUCUGUGCUUUCUGCCCCUGGGUACCUAUGCAUGAGCAGUACCUCUGCUUUCCAGGGAAGAAGGUUGCAUUGGUGGUGUGAGCAUGAUCACAGCAUAGCUUUGUGACAGAUCCCCUCAGCUCUUACGCUCAGAGUUCAAGUCUAGGCUCUAAGGUAUGCAGGUGAAAUCCACUGGGGCUGAGAGGAUUGAAGGAUGCAGAAAAGUGUUUGAGGAUCUGAGAACUUCCACACAACCUCAGCCCACUGCGCUGAAGCCCCACAGUUUAACCUGACUCCACUCCAGACCCUUCUCUGGUGUCAAUAUCAUCUAAAGGACCUGAAGGUCUGAACGACCUCACUGUAUUUUGGCACAUUUUGAAGAUGGCAGCCAAGACCUCUUUGUGCCAUUCAUGCAAACAAUGCACAGAGAGAUGUGCAGGAAAACUGCAGAGGCCAAGGCUAGCUGUGAUGCUUAAACUCGAGGGCAUUUUCCCUUUAGGGAAGGGAAGGAUGGGGCCAGGAGCAGUCCCCCACCCAUGGAACAGCCCCAAGCAACGCUAGAGGGAGCCCCGGGCUCAAUUAAUUAACGGGCUAAAAUUAGCCGAGGGGGAGAAACAUUGAAGCCGGGUGGGAAAGUGAGAACGGUGUUAGUUGUGUUUUCAAGGGGUUUUCAAGCUGCAUUUCUGUCAAGUUACACCAAAAAGCGACAUGCAUGGCAGCGAGGCAACACUAGUGCAAAAUGCAGCAUGGAAAUGGCUCUAUGCUCUGAGUGCAGUGGGAGGAGGUCUCAGGCACAAGACUAUGGCAGAGGGUUCCAGAGGCUGAGAUCAGCUCUUGGGUGCUGGCUGCAUGGCUACAGAGGGGUCUCCUAUUUUAGGGAUGCUUGCAGGGUGCUGCCUGCAUGCAGAAGGGUCUGCAGAUCCACCCAGGGAUGUCACAGUCUUAGUUUGCUCUUCUGCAUUCUUUCCUACAUGGUGCAGAGCUUUGCUGGAUGUCCAAAGCCAUCCUGAAGGCAAUGGGGGGUUUUCCACUUGUUUCCUUUGGUGCAGACCUUACUAGAGCUCCUGUGGGUGGGGGAAGGGGAAGGCAGGCUCCCAACAGGACCCCAUGGCAUAGUGGAUGGGAUGGAACAAUGUGGGUGAUCAACUCAGGCUUGAGUGUUAGCAAAACUGAACCAAAAAGGGAGCUCAGCAGAAGCCAGAACAUAAAAGCUGCCAUUGGGCUCAUUUGUUAUCAUUUUAAUCUUAUUAACAUCCCAUCCAGUGGCUCUUUGGAGAAUAAAACAUUGAUAUUAUAUAUUUCUCUUGGCAGAAACCAACCAACCUUAGAAAAGAUGAAGUACUCAGUAAAGGAAAAAAAAAAAGGAAUCAAGUUUUAUAUUGUCUUUUUAAUUAACCGAUCUAAUAUUGCCUGAGUAUGCAGGAGAACAAGGAAGUAGCAGAGAUUAUGUUAAGGGUUUGCUGUAUCCCAUGUUCUAAGUGUAAAUAAUGUUCUUGUUAAUUUAAAACCAAGGCUGACUGUCUUUAUGACUUCAUUGCACUCACAUUAGCUCUACCUUUAGGCAGUGUCAUGGGUGCAAAUAGAUUGGGUUGAAAACUUCCCUAGAGCCACUUUAAAGUGACAUCUAAUCUUUCCCUUUAGUGGUGUUAAUUCAACUUCACAAGAGCAUUUGAAGCACCAUUAGGCAGAGAAAUGGACCUUCUCUCCUGCUGGUGCCCUUAUCCAAAUCACAACCCCCAAAAAUCUGUUUCAUAUCAGGCCAACUCUCCAGGGCUCUAGAGAGCAGCUGAAGGAGACGUGGGUUUCCUCUUUAUGAGAGUUAAAUACAUAAAGGAUUUAUGUUUUGCAUUUCUUACUGCCUGGUGGAAGUCUCCAAGCAUCUUGGGAACCUCCUGGCUCUCACAAUGCAGUGGGAAUGGGGACAGAGAAAGACUUGAGGACGGAACCAUGGAGACAGAGGAUUCCUCACAAACCAGAAUGCCUGCCAGGGUAUGGUGGCCUGCUGUUGGGAUGGAUUUUAACCAAGGAAAAGCGGAAAAUGAAGUGCUGGGAAGGAAACCCCAUGAGUUUUGUGGAUGGGACAGACCUCUGUCACCUUCUGCCUUGGCCAUCUCUUGGUUCUGGCCAGUUUAGUCCUCAGUGGAUGGUACGGUCACACACAUUUUUGGUGGAGAAAGGAUUAUAUUAGAGGACAGGAGAGGCAAAGCAUCCCCGAGGUCUGGCAGGUGCAGGAGUUAAGGGCAAGGAGGGAAGGACUGCAAGGCUGUGGGAUGCAACUUUCUCCUCUCAUCCAGGAGGGGGCAAUCCGUGGCUGGAACUGAAGUGAAAGGAGCGCCGGAUAAAGAGAUUUUUCUUUUCACUGCUCCUUCCAGGGAAAAGCUCAAAUUACUGUGAUGGAGGAAGGCUGUAAAAUGAAAACACAGAUGGAGGAACUUAAAGGGACUGUGGGUUUGGGGUAGCCCGUUUUUCUUUACAUUGUGGCAUUAAUUCUUACAAACUAUCUCUCCCAAUUAAAAGGAAAAAAGAGAGUUAAACUGGAUUUUCUUUUGAAUCACCUGGAACUUUAUGCUGACUGAUGCAUAUCCAUCAGCAUAUCCCAUCAUUUAUUUUCAUUAAGCUUGUGUAUUUAACUCAUCUUCUUUGGCCUUCCUUCCUUCCAAAGCCCCAGACAGAAGAUGCAGCUGCAUGUCGGGUACAACAAGCAGAUUUAUACAUGCAGCCAUUCUCUCAGCCUAACGUGUCUUUGAUUUCUGCCACACACACUUUUAUUUAUACAGUGCAUUCUCAUAUAGCAAACAGUUGACUCCUUGACCUUUGGAGAUGGGCUGGUGAACAACACACGGGCAAAGGUUUGUUCCAAGGUAUAUCUUAUAUCAUUGGGUGAGAUAGACCAAAUAGUUCAGCCUCUUCUCUGCCUUAGUUUCCUCAUCUGAAAGCAAAAAAACCAAGAAAUAAUGAAACUGCAAUGUUCUGCAGAGUUGCACAUUCACAAACCGCAAAUUAAAAAGACGGGGAAAGAGUUUCAAGAUGCUUCUGAGUAAAAAAUCACCCACUGGAGGAGAACUGUUGGACAUCUCAGGGGCUUCCCAGCUGCAUUCUGGGGGAAGGUAUAGAAAACCUAAUGUACAGUGCUGGAACAGGAGUGGGCAUCCCACUGGGCCACUUCGUCCUGGUGAGGGCUUAUGGCCAGGAAAGCAGUGAGAGCUCAGAGAAAGAAUACCUGGAAAAUAAAUGAACAAAACCGUGUUCUGUCUCUUGCUAACUGUUAACUACACAAAGAAAGAAUGAGGGGGGUGGGGGGGGUGGAAAAAGCAACACGAACCACUCAAGUCUGGGAGAAAUGGAAUGCGGAG